rnacentral:rRNA from 1 species
GACGAACGCUGGCGGCAUGCCUAAUACAUGCAAGUCGAGCGAGCGGCGGACGGGUGAGUAAUGUCUGGGAAACUGCCUGAUGGAGGGGGAUAACUACUGGAAACGGUAGCUAAUACCGCAUACCAUCGGAUGUGCCCAGAUGGGAUUAGCGAGUAGGUGGGGUAAUGGCUCACCUAGGCGACGAUCCCUAGCUGGUCUGAGAGGAUGACCAGCCACACUGGAACUGAGACACGGUCCAGACUCCUACGGGAGGCAGCAGUGGGGAAUAUUGCACAAUGGGCGCAAGCCUGAUGCAGCCAUGCCGCGUGUGUGAAGAAGGCCUUCGGGUUGUAAAGCACUUUCAGCGGGGAGGCGUUACUCGCAGAAGAAGCACCGGCUAACUCCGUGCCAGCAGCCGCGGUAAUUC